rnacentral:rRNA from 1 species
GACGGAGCUGCUUUGAUGAAGUUUUCGGAUGGAUUUAAAGCAGCUUAGUGGCGGACGGGUGAGUAACGCGUGGGUAACCUGCCUCACACUGGGGGAUAACAGUUAGAAAUAGCUGCUAAUACCGCAUAAGCGCACGGUUCCGCAUGGAACAGUGUGAAAAACUCCGGUGGUGUGAGAUGGACCCGCGUCUGAUUAGCCAGUUGGCGGGGUAACGGCCCACCAAAGCGACGAUCAGUAGCCGGCCUGAGAGGGUGAACGGCCACAUUGGGACUGAGACACGGCCCAAACUCCUACGGGAGGCAGCAGUGGGGAAUAUUGCACAAUGGGGGAAACCCUGAUGCAGCGACGCCGCGUGAGUGAAGAAGUAUUUCGGUAUGUAAAGCUCUAUCAGCAGGGAAGAAAGUGACGGUACCUGAAUAAGAAGCCCCGGCUAACUACGUGCCAGCAGCCGCGGUAAUACGUAGGGGGCAAGCGUUAUCCGGAUUUACUGGGUGUAAAGGGAGCGUAGACGGCAAGGCAAGUCUGAAGUGAAAGCCCGGUGCUUAACGCCGGGACUGCUUUGGAAACUGUUUGGCUGGAGUGCCGGAGAGGUAAGCGGAAUUCCUAGUGUAGCGGUGAAAUGCGUAGAUAUUAGGAAGAACACCAGUGGCGAAGGCGGCUUACUGGACGGUAACUGACGU